AAAUUGAAGAGUUUGAUCAUGGCUCAGAUUGAACGCUGGCGGCAGGCCUAACACAUGCAAGUCGAACGGUAACAGGAAGCAGCUUGCUGCUUUGCUGACGAGUGGCGGACGGGUGAGUAAUGUCUGGGAAACUGCCUGAUGGAGGGGGAUAACUACUGGAAACGGUAGCUAAUACCGCAUAACGUCGCAAGACCAAAGAGGGGGACCUUCGGGCCUCUUGCCAUCGGAUGUGCCCAGAUGGGAUUAGCUAGUAGGUGGGGUAAAGGCUC
rnacentral:rRNA from 1 species